GUGACCUCAAUAGCGUCUGUCAGUUCUGGUGCAAACGUGCUUGUGAUCACUAGGCUACUUAAUCGUCUUGUAAACGGGGUUUUCUUGAUUAAAGUGUACGUAACUUUGAAACUACUAAUAAUGUAUCCAGUGAACCCACCUUGCGUCACUUGCCAAGCACCAUCAGGCCAAACAGUGUAUCAAACUGUUGAAACUCUGCCUUGUCAGCCACAUGUCUCUUGCCAGGCAAGUCAAGAAGCCUCUGCAACAUACAGCAUCUCCCAGCCGGUCGUCGUGCAUCAGGCUACUGUAUCCUCUACUGUGCAGUAUACAACCCAGCCCUCUGUAGAGUACUGUGCCCAGCCUUCUGUGCAGUACACAACCCAGCCUUCUACUACUGUGCAGUACACGACCCAGCCCUCUGUACAGUACUGUACCCAGCCUUCCACCACUGUGCAGUACACAACCAAGCCCUCUACAGAGUACUGUACCCAGCCUUCUACUACUGUGCAGUACACAACCCAGCCCUCUGUACAGUACUGUACCCAGCCGUAUACUGUGCAGUACAGCACUCAACCUUCUGAUGUAUAUCUUGGCCAGCCCUCGUGCGUGGGGUGGCGAAGGUCUCUCCAAAUUAAUGCACACACCCCAUCCGUCACGGUAUGUGUUCAAAGGUCUCCAGCAGUCUGCCACAAAAAAUUUCCCCAUUAUUAAAGACUACUGAUGCCAAGGAUCUACAGGGAAUGGCUCUGCAAACAGUUGUUAAAAUUCGCAUUGUUUUAAUAAAUUUAAAGUGAAACUUGUCUUGAGCUACUAAGGAAAUUACUCAGCAUUUCGUGUGCCAAUUUUUAUUUUAACUAGAUUUUAAUUUAAGGGGUAAUUGUCUCCACCCUUCAGAAUAAAAUUACCAUUACACAUUGCUUCUGAAGGAAAGUCUAAAAUAUUUUAAGGCUGGGUACUACGGCUCAAAUUUCUAUUGUUAGUAUUCUACUGGAAAAUAUUAGGGUUAAGGAUGCCAGUCAUGCCUACUAAAAUGUUAAUUUUUAUUUUAUUGUAAAAUUUGAUAAAAUCUCCUAGACUUUAAUUUAUUUUUCCUCUUGUUCUCUUACUUCUAAUUAACCAUAUGAUUUUUAUGGGUUACACAGUAACUUGUAUGGCUAAAAUACCCUGACCCACGGAAAUUUAGCCUUGUGUAUACUCUUAGAAACCAAAGAGGGUGGGGGGGGGGGGUAGCCUUAGAUGGGCCUCCCAACCCUUUUAAGUGUUCCUACGUACGGCAUGGAACACUGGGACACCUAUUUGCUUAGUUCUUUAGACUUGUUAUUUAAUUCCAUCCACACCCGGGGCUGUUUUUUUUUCAGUGCCAUUUCUGGUAUGUAGCAAAUUAUGGUUAUAUCCAUAAAUUCAUUCCCUUCAUCUUCAAACAUUUGUGUGGGUAAUGUGAUGUAAUCUUUCUAGUGAAGAUGUAAAAUAUUCAGUUUGAAACCCUUUUAUCGUCCAUUAUAACUUUGCUUCAUUUAUUCCAAUCCUGACCCCCUUGCUCUUAAUGACGGUGAAUACUGAGCUAAAUAAAGUCCAUCUUUGGUUA
rnacentral:lncRNA from 1 species